rnacentral:lncRNA from 1 species
GAGGACUACCUGGUCCAGGAAACACUUAUACCUAGAUCCAGAUUCUAAAGAAUUCUGGGCUUGCAGAGUCAUAUUGACGUAUACUUAGCACAGAAUCCAACAGGAACGGCAGUUCAAAAUGUGCUAGACUAUCGUCAAGAAUG